rnacentral:piRNA from 1 species
UCCCAACUCCUACAAUCUUUUACUCUCCUC